UACGUAGGGGGCUAGCGUUGUCCGGAAUCAUUGGGCGUAAAGCGCGUGUAGGCGGCCCGGUAAGUCCGCUGUGAAAGUCGGGGGCUCAACCCUCGAAAGCCGGUGGAUACUGUCGGGCUCGAGUGCGGAAGAGGCGAGUGGAAUUCCUGGUGUAGCGGUGAAAUGCGCAGAUAUCAGGAGGAACACUGAUUGCGAAGGCAGCUCGCUGGGACGUUACUGACGCUGAGACGCGAAAGCGUGGGGAGCAAACAGG
rnacentral:rRNA from 1 species